GCAUGUUUGUGGGUGGAAAGUUUUUCGGCUUGGGAUGGGCUCGCGGCCUAUCAGCUUGUUGGUGGGGUGAUGGCCUACUAAGGCGACGACGGGUAGCCGGCCUGAGAGGGCGACCGGCCACACUGGGACUGAGACACGGCCCAGACUCCUACGGGAGGCAGCAGUGGGGAAUAUUGCACAAUGGGCGGAAGCCUGAUGCAGCGACGCCGCGUGAGGGAUGACGGCCUUCGGGUUGUAAACCUCCUUCAGCAGGGACGAAGCGUGAGUGACGGUACCUGCAGAAGAAGCGCCGGCCAACUACGUGCCAGCAGCCGCGGUAAGACGUAGGGCGCGAGCGUUGUCCGGAUUUAUUGGGCGUAAAGAGCUCGUAGGCGGCUUGUCGCGUCGACUGUGAAAACCCGUGGCUCAACUGCGGGCCUGCAGUCGAUACGGGCAGGCUAGAGUUCGGUAGGGGAGACUGGAAUUCCUGGUGUAGCGGUGGAAUGCGCAGAUAUCAGGAGGAACACCGGUGGCGAAGGCGGGUCUCUGGGCCGAUACUGACGCUGAGGAGCGAAAGCGUGGGGAGCGAACAGGUUUAGAUACCCUGGUAGUCCACGCUGUAAACGUUGGGCGCUAGGUGUGGGGGGCCUCUCCGGUUCUCUGUGCCGCAGCUAACGCAUUAAGCGCCCCGCCUGGGGAGUACGGCCGCAAGGCUAACACUCAAAGGAAUUGACGGGGGCCUGCACAAGCGGCGGAGCAUGCGGAUUAAUUCGAUGCAACGCGAAGAACCUUACCUGGGUUUGACAUCGCCGGAAAUCCUGCAGAGAUGUGGGGUCCUUCGGGGCCGGUGACAGGUGGCGCAUGGCUGUCGUCAGCUCGUGUCGUGAGAUGCUGGGUUAAGUCCCGCAACGAGCGCAACCCUCGUCCCAUGUUGCCCGCAAUUC
rnacentral:rRNA from 1 species